rnacentral:rRNA from 1 species
GGACGGGUGAGUAAUGUCUGGGAAACUGCCUGAUGGAGGGGGGUAACUACUGGAAACGGUAGCUAAUACCGCAUAACGUCGCAAGACCAAAGAGGGGGACCUUCGGGCCUCUUGCCAUCGGAUGUGCCCAGAUGGGAUUAGCUAGUAGGUGGGGUAACGGCUCACCUAGGCGACGAUCCCUAGCUGGUCUGAGAGGAUGACCAGCCACACUGGAACUGGGACACGGUCCAG